rnacentral:rRNA from 1 species
CAGCAGCCGCGGUAAUACGAAGGGUGCAAGCGUUACUCGGAAUUACUGGGCGUAAAGCGUGCGUAGGUGGUGGUUUAAGUCCGUUGUGAAAGCCCUGGGCUCAACCUGGGAAUUGCAGUGGAUACUGGGUCACUAGAGUGUGGUAGAGGAUAGUGGAAUUUCCGGUGUAGCAGUGAAAUGCGUAGAGAUCGGAAGGAACAUCUGUGGCGAAGGCGACUAUCUGGGCCAACACUGACACUGAGGCACGAAAGCGUGGGGAGCAAACAGGAUUAGAUACCCGUGUAGUCCCUGUCUCUAUACA